rnacentral:rRNA from 1 species
AUUGAACGCUGGCGGCAGGCCUAACACAUGCAAGUCGAGCGAGCGGCGGACGGGUGAGUAAUGUCUGGGAAACUGCCUGAUGGAGGGGGAUAACUACUGGAAACGGUCGCUAAUACCGCAUACCAUCAGAUGUGCCCAUAUGGGAUUAGCUAGUAGGUGGGGUAACGGCUCACCUAGGCGACGAUCCCUAGCUGGUCUGAGAGGAUGACCAGCCACACUGGAACUGAGACACGGUCCAGACUCCUACGGGAGGCAGCAGUGGGGAAUAUUGCACAAUGGGCGCAAGCCUGAUGCAGCCAUGCCGCGUGUAUGAAGAAGGCCUUCGGGUUGUAAAGUACUUGCAGCGGGGAGGCGUUACCCGCAGAAGAAGCACCGGCUAACUCCGUGCCAGCAGCCGCGGUAAUAC